GAUGAACGCUAGCGGCAGGCUUAAUACAUGCAAGUCGAGGGGUAGCAAGAUUGUAGCAAUACAAUUGUUGACGACCGGCAAACGGGUGCGGAACACGUACACAACCUUCCUACAAGUGGGGAAUAGCCCAGAGAAAUUUGGAUUAAUACCCCGUAACAUAGCGAUGUGGCAUCACAUUGCUAUUAUAGCUUCGGCGCUUGUUGAUGGGUGUGCGGCUGAUUAGAUAGUCGGCGGGGUAACGGCCCACCAAGUCUACGAUCAGUAGCUGAUGUGAGAGAAUGAACAGCCAAACGGGCACUGGGACACGGGCCCGACUCCUACGGGAGGAAGCAGUAAGGAAUAUUGGACAAUGGACGCAAGUCUGAUCCAGCCAUGCCGCGUGAAGGAUUAAGGUCCUCUGGAUUGUAAACUUCUUUUAUAAGGGACGAAAAAAGGUCUUUCUAGAUCGUCUGACGGUACCUUAUGAAUAAGCACCGGCUAACUCCGUGCCAGCCGCCGCAGUAAAAC
rnacentral:rRNA from 1 species